GGAAGAGAAAGAAAAAUCGAUUUCCUGAGUAGCGGCGAGCGAAACGGAAAGAGCCCAAACCAAGAAGCUUGCUUCUUGGGGUUGUAGGACACUCUAUACGGAGUUACAAAAGAAAGUUAUAAAUGAAGCGGUCUGGAAAGGCCCGCCAAAGACGGUAACAGCCCGGUAGUUGAAAUGGCUUUCCCUCCAGAGUGGAUCCUGAGUACGGCGGAACACGUGAAAUUCCGUCGGAAUCCGGGAGGACCAUCUCCCAAGGCUAAAUACUCCCUAGUGACCGAUAGUGAACCAGUACCGUGAGGGAAAGGUGAAAAGCACCCCGGAAGGGGAGUGAAACAGUUCCUGAAACCGUGUGCCUACAAGUAGUUAGAGCCCGUUAAUGGGUGAUAGCGUGCCUUUUGUAGAAUGAACCGGCGAGUUACGAUUUGUUGCAAGGUUAAGCGGAAAAAGCGGAGCCGUAGCGAAAGCGAGUCUGAAUAGGGCGCAUAAGUAACAGGUCGUAGACCCGAAACCAGGUGAUCUACCCAUGUCCAGGAUGAAGGUAAGGUAAUACUUACUGGAGGUCCGAACCCACGCACGUUGAAAAGUGCGGGGAUGAGGUGUGGGUAGCGGAGAAAUUCCAAUCGAACUUGGAGAUAGCUGGUUCUCUCCGAAAUAGCUUUAGGGCUAGCCUCGAGGUAAAGAGUCAUGGAGGUAGAGCACUGUUUGGACUAGGGGCCCUUCUCGGGUUACCGAAUUCAGAUAAACUCCGAAUGCCAUGUACUUAUACUCGGGAGUCAGACUGCGAGUGAUAAGAUCCGUAGUCGAAAGGGAAACAGCCCAGACCACCAGUUAAGGUCCCCAAAUAUAUGUUAAGUGGAAAAGGAUGUGGGGUUGCUUAGACAACCAGGAUGUUGGCUUAGAAGCAGCCACCAUUGAAAGAGUGCGUAAUAGCUCACUGGUCGAGUGACCCCGCGCCGAAAAUGUACCGGGGCUAAACAUAUUACC
rnacentral:rRNA from 1 species